UCCUGUAUCGAAAGUGAUCAUGGCGUGUUGGUCGUCAGGUCAUUGAAAAGCAGGAACAUCAACCUGAGAGCUUUUUCCCGUGUUUAGUGGACUUCCUGUUCCUUCUGAACCCUGGUGCUCUCAGACA